rnacentral:lncRNA from 1 species
UUUGGAUUUUGGAAAGUGGACCAAAACCGGGAUGAAAUAACCCGCUGUCGGUCCGGGUUACUGUUCAUCCGGGUGGAAAAUAAGAAAUUUCAUGCCAUAAUAUGGUAUUAAGCCUAGAUUAGGCUAAGGGAGACCUUGUACUCGUGCAAGGGAGUCCCUAAUACACAUAAAUGAUGAGUUAAUUAAUAGAAAAAGAAAAAGAGAAAGAAAAGAAAAGAUUUAGGGAACGGGGGAGUUGAAUCAAUUAAAGUUUUCUAUAUUAUAAUUGGCACGUAGAUUAUAGCCCUUGAUACAAAACUAAAUAUAUUGUAAAUGCAUGUAUCAGUUGGGCAAGAAGCUAGG